UGCCGUACCUUAUAGGUUUAUGAAUAAAAAAUCCAGGAUGCGCCCCUUUGUUCUCUAUCAAUACAUCUCAGUAUCGCCGCUGCGAAAAAAAAGAGAAUAUUCAUCGUUUUGUUUUCUUGCCUUCCAUUGUGAGACGUGGAACAUGCAGGUUGCUUUUUAUGGAUUCUUUUGUUCGUACGGUAAAUCUUUGGGAUGUUUUACCUAAUUCUGAUAUUUGAUUUCGUUCCCAGGGAAGAUGAAUCAAAAAAUUUUGGGAACAAAAGAUGUUCUCCAUGAUUUUGAUGUUUGAUUUCGUUCAUAGAGCAGAUGAAUCACCAAUUUAAUUUUUGGGAACAACAAUCAGAUUACAUGCUCUUCAGGAACAAAAUUUGGCUACAGGCUUGCAGCAGUCUUGAUGAAGAGCUAUAAAAGAUUUGUUCCCACAAAUUUUCAUGCAUUAUUGUUCACCAACCCUAUAAAAGAAAUUGGUAAAGGGUGGUAAUGAGAAUUUCGUCUUAUUGCUAGAUCAUGUGCAAUCUGUAAGGCAGCGGAAAUCGAGCUGCAAUAAGCAGGAUGUUGUCAAUCGUAAUAUACAAGAACUUCAGACUGAAUGGGAAGGCCAUAGUUUCUAUCUGGCGCCGCCAAUUUGAAUUUGGAUCGUUAUAGAAUCUGAUGACUUGAGAGAGAACUAAAGAACGGGAGGUUGAAGCAGAUGACGUAAUACAAGUCGUUUCUGUUAAUAGUGGUGCCGCAGAUCCAAGAACUGGAUUUUUCAGGGUUCAUAGCAACCCAUCAUUAAUUGACUUGUAAUUCUUUUUGGGUCCCGACUGGCGGUGAUUUACGUUAAGCCUGAAGUGCUGCGGGGAAAAACAUCUGUCAAAUUCCUUCCUUCUUCCCAUGUUGCUGACAUCAGAAGGCCUAAUGCAGUCUGUGAAGCGAAACAAACUGGCCAUUAAUUGGAGUGAAACUCUAAUUGGGAAGACCAUUACGUACUCCCAGUUUCUGCGUGAUUCUGGUUUUUUUAUCGGUUUUUGAAUUUUCAUCGUAUUUUGGAUUAAGUACGGUUUUUAAAAUCUUGAUCUAUCAGUAUCUCAUUUUGUGGAUAAACCGAAUUGGGUUGCUUACAUCCACACUAACAAUACGAACAUGAUUUAUAAUUACCUCGGAAUACAUUCUU